AGCAGUGUGGCUCAGUGGAAAAGAGUACGGGCUUGAGAAGCAGAGGACGUGGGUUCUACUCCUGCCUCUGCCA
rnacentral:tRNA from 1 species